AGAGUGAACGCUGGCGGUAGGCCUAACACAUGCAAGUCGAACGGCAGCACGGUAAGAGCUUGCUCUUAUGGGUGGCGAGUGGCGGACGGGUGAGGAAUACAUCGGAAUCUACCUUUUGGUGGGGGAUAACGUAGGGAAACUUACGCUAAUACCGCAUACGCCCGUUCGGGGGAAAGCCGGGGACCAGCAAUGGCCUGGUGCUGAUAGAUGAGCCGAUGUCGGAUUAGCUAGUUGGUGAGGUAAUGGC
rnacentral:rRNA from 1 species